ensembl:ncRNA C43F9.15 ncRNA
UGACCGGAUUGAUUGCACACCGAUAGGCUAAUUUUUGUUCAUCUUCCACUGUCAAGAAAAGGGCAGAAACCGAUCCAUGCGUGUAAUCGGUAACACUCGCAUGUCAAC